AUGUUUGUCAAAUCGCUUCUGCUCCUUUCUGUCGCUAUUGCGUACGUUUCCGCCGACUGCCUCCACUGCAUCUGCAUGAGAGAGUCAGGAUGCAAACCAAUCGGUUGCCACAUGGACGUUGGAUCCCUCUCCUGCGGAUACUAUCAGGUAAAUCAAGAUCAACUAGGGAAUAUGUGAAUCUAGAAAUGGAAAUAGCAGAAUAUCAGAACACGUUUUCAAUUUUGUCAUGAAACCAUACAAGAUGUUCGGUUGCCUGUUUAUUGUUUUGCCAUUUAAAUAAGGAAACAAUAACACUUCAGAAAAAUACGUGAAAUUCAAAAGCUCAUCUUUCAUGUCUUCAUUAAUUGAUGGUUUUUGAAAUCGGCACGAAAUGUUUGUUAUGCCUCAUUGAACAGAUAUUUCUUUAAUGAAAAUCUAGCAUAAUUGAAACGGUUCAUCGGACCACAGCCCCCAUAUUUUUCACAUAUCUCUUCUCAAGCGAAUCGGAAGUUCCUAAUCAGUAUGGUAAAAUAAAUCGCGUUGAAUUUUAAUUUUGAGUUUUUUCGAUAAAAAUGUAUAACAAGAAACGAUGUUUUAAAUUGCUAAAACAAAAAAACCACAAAAGAGCAAAUGCGUACUUUCCCGAGGAAAUGGACAGGAAAUGCUUUGAAAAUGUUAAAACGGGAUUGAUUUUUGUAUAGGGGAACUUUUGCAUUGAAGCUAAGAAGAUAAAAGGCAUACUAGAAAUGAAAACUUUCAAAACCAUGUAGACAAGGAAAUUGUAUGGAACAACAACAAGGAUAUACAAAAAUUGAACUCUACUCUAUGUAUUCCAGUUUUUUUUAAUUUUAAAUGUACCAAGACCCAACUAUAAAAAGUAAAGAAUAAAAAUAUAAUAUGUUUCUUUUAGAUCAAGAUUGGAUACUAUGAAGACUGCGGACAACCAACAAAGAAGGCUGGAGAGACUACUGAAGCUGCCUGGAAGAGAUGUGCUGAUGAUCUUAACUGCGCUACCACUUGCGUCGAGAACUACUACAACCGCUACAAGUCUCAGUGCAAUGGACUUGGAAUGGGAGCUUGCCAGAUCAUGUCCCGUAACCACAACGGAGGACCACGUGGAUGCCACAACGCCAACACCUUGGCUUACUGGAACGGAGUUAAAAGCUGCUGUGGAUGCUCUUAA